AGAGAGAAAGAAAGAGAGUUCUUCACAGGCUCAGAGCAACUAGAGAAAGGAUCCAAAGGGAUCGCAUUGAUCCUAAUUAAGCUGAAUUUAUUCCCAAAUAAUUGUUAUAUUUUUCUCAAUCUAAAGAAAAAGUCCCAAAAAUCUGCUUCGUUUUCAGGAUCAUGCGAUCUAUUUGGAUUCAUCCUUUGGUUGCUUCCAUUUUGGUCAAAGUGUUUCACUGCCGGGGACUUCACCGGCGGGAAAAUCUCCAGUGGGUCGAUCCAUGGUGGUGAAGUUGCCUCUGUCAAGGAAACAAUUGAGAAGCUCUUAACAGAGUUAUGAGUGGUGAGCCAAAUAACGGAACAAGAGAAGCAGAUGGUGUAACGUUUUGUGACAGUCAGAAACACAGGUUCGCUAAUUGAGAAGAGCUGUGGCUUGGUUAUGCAGACAAUCAAGAAUCUUUUAUGUACUUUUCUUUGUAACAGAUCUUUUUAUGUACUUGUCAUACGAUAUUAGAAUCACUUUGUUCGCCUUUCUUUACUCUGAAUUAAAACAAAACAGAAA